GAGAGGGCAGAGCCGGAGCCCCGGAAUCUUCCCCCGGGCGCCACGCGCCGCCAGGCACGAUGGCCUGGGAGGCCCAGCUCCAGCCCCUGCUGAUGUUCCCCUGCCACUUUCGGGGCCCUGAUCCCUUCGAAGGGAGACGGCGUCUCGGGUCCCCCUCCCCUCACGAGGAGCGGGGCUGGCCCUUCGCAGCCUCCUUAGGGAAGACCGGAGCCCGCGCCCGGGUGCACCGACGGCCUGCAGGAAGGCACGAGGACCGCCGGCUCCCAGAGCAGGCCUCACUCAGGGCUCCCCACCUCGGGCCCUCGCGGGCACUCCGGUGCUCUCUCACCCCAGGUUCCACUCUUGGCUCCCCAGGAAAAAGCCACUCAGGCUUCCUUUCCCUUGAGCCCCACUCUGGAGACCCCGACCCACGCCCUACUCCGGCUCCCUCCCUGGCCUCUUCCCUGGCCCUCCACCCUGGUCGGGACUCUGCAAUCGGUGGCAGGCUCUGGGUGCCCGCACUCUCUUCCCCUGAGCACUGGCAGGGACACCGGCCGGGCGGGCGCGGCGGGCGGGCGCGGCGGGCGCGCGCGGGGAACCGGGCGCAGGCGGGGCCGGCCGAACCCCGCGGAGCCACCGGCAAACUGAAAGCGCUGUCUCCAAGUUUAGCAGAUCGAGGUCGGCUGGCCGUCGGAGGGGCGGUUCUCCCCCGCAGCCCGCGUCUUGCCUCUAGGAGCCCGGCCGCCGCCGAGCUCGGAGCCGCAGGAGCCUGCCCGCCUGCCCCUCCCUCUCCUUUUCGGGUUCUUUCCUGCGCGGACACCGCGGUUCUGUCCUUCUCGGUAGCAGAACUCCACACUCGCACAGCUGCAGACUGCAUCUGCCGGGUACUGGCCGCAGCCUUCGUUGGGCACGCCGGGAUGGCCCCGCGGAGUCGCGGGGCGCCCAGUCACCAUGGCGGGGACCCCGGCCGUCGCCCCCACGACCCCGCGGAGUCCGACGUGCGCGGCCGGCCCCCCGGGGGCAGCACCUUCGGGGACGACCAUGGACGAACACAUCCAGGGUCUGGAGGGCGCUCGAGGGAGCCGCUGGCGUCUGGACACGACGCCCCGCAGGCGACUGGUCUGCGGAGUUUUUCUCUUUUUUUGGGAAAUUUACCAGACGAAGUCAGCGUUUUACAGGCCCGACAGAGCAAAUUUAGUCAUCUCCCUGUACCUCCCCCACCCCGCUUAGUCCUUAUGAACCAACUGGAGGGCUGUCUGGAGGUGGUGACGCGCCCAUGUGGAUGUGGACAGUGGACGUACGCCCCCUAUACGUCCAUGGCCUGCAUGGGGGCGCCUGCCAGCACGCCAGGUCGCCUGGGUUCCGUCCUGUGACAGUCCCUCAGGGCAGGCCUCAGAGUCAAGGGGGGAUCUUGACCCUCAUUCUCAGGCGGCCACUGGCAGCCUUGAUUUGGGAGCUCAGAGCUGGUAGCUCAGGGCCUGGGCCUUAGGAGCAUCGCCAGGCCUGCGGGAAGAGGGUCCCAACAGCGCAGGACCUGCAGGAGGCACCAGAGGCUGCUGAGAAG
rnacentral:lncRNA from 1 species